UCACGCACGCAAACAGGGAAUGGUGGUCCAACCAGGCUGAAAAGGGACGCGAGGAACGCGUUUGCUCAUCGUUUUCUCAAAUACCCCAACGGAGAAGUGAGUCAAGACGUUUUGUUUGUUCGCAUAGAAUCUGUAGCAUCUCACAUCACACGUAGGGACAGUGGUUGUCGAUAGAUCAGUUCUGAUCAAGUCAAGAAAGUCCUUGGGGGCCCCCAAUAGACCCAUUCAAACGCGGCCAUUAAUGGAAGGGCCACCACCAGGCAGAGCUUAUAAGAACAGGGACCGAUCUCUUCCCGCCGGCAUCCAAGCCGUUCUGUCUCCCUCUAUCUCAGCUGUCGCCUCCGAAUCUCUUGGGUGGUGCUUCAAGCUUACUCACAAUGAAAUCGAUCGGUCGUGGCGUCAUCCCACCAAGAGGCCUUGUCCUCAGGCGGUCCCUGAACAAGAUGUUUGGCAUCCUCCGCCGCUGCCUCUGCUGCUGCAGCUCCUCUGCUGCGGAUCAGUUCUCGCACUCCUACCAGCCUUCGCGUGUAAAUCCUGCUGAUGAGGUUUCACCUCCGACCCUUUCAUCAUCCCGCUGAGACCAGCGAGGGACAAGAGGGUUUGUCAUUUCUGGGAAUGUUGACUUGGUGUUGAUUCUGCAAGUAAUCCAGACGGAUCUAGUUGCUUAGAAAAACGAAAAGGAGUUCAAGACUAAUUCAAUGUAAAAAAUAAUAUCACUUUUGUACCUAUUCUGAUUGACAGUUUAAUAUCAUAUCAAAACAGUCAACUGUAGGUUGUCUUUU